GGAAGUAAAAGUCGUAAUAAGAUCUCCGUAGGUGAACCUGCGGAGGGAUCAUUACAGAGUUCAUGCCCUACCGGGUAGAUCUCCCACCCUAUGUUAUUAUUACUUUGUUGCUUUGGCGGGCCGUUAGGCUCCGGCCCGACUACCGGCCCCGGCUGGUAAGCGCCCGCCAGAGGACCCAAAACCCUGAAUAUUAGUGUCGUCUGAGUACUAUAUAAUAGUUAAAACUUUCAACAACGGAUCUCUUGGUUCUG
rnacentral:misc_RNA from 1 species